rnacentral:siRNA from 1 species
CCUUUUAGGUAAUGACAUAAUAA